UCCAGUACAGGUGAAUAUACUGUAAUGACAGCUCAUUUCCACCUGAAAAGAAAAAUUGGGUAUUUUGUGAUUCAAACCUAUCUGCCUUGCAUCAUGACUGUCAUUCUCUCCCAAGUUUCAUUCUGGCUUAACAGAGAAUCUGUGCCUGCAAGAACUGUGUUUGGUGAGUGAAUACACACUUUGCAGUACAGCACAUUAUGUUUCAUAGCAUACUUUCAAAAACAUUAUCUCUCUUGAUCCUCAAACUAAUUAUUUGUAGUAGGUGGGGCGGGGAGUAUUGUUUUUGCCUUAUAGGUGAAGAAGUAGGCUCAGAGUGGUAACAUAGUGCUACACUGUUAAUAAGGGAUAUAAGGAAAGAAAAGUACUCAAAUAUUCUUAAAACACACUUAGUCUUCUUUCUGUUAAAUCAUACUGCUGUUCAACAUUUGUCUGUACUAUAUUUACACAAGGAGAAUUUUCUUAGAAGUUUUAAUUUAUAGUCUCACUACCAUAUUUCUAGGCUUUCUAUAUUUUUCUGUUGUUUUUAGAUGAAGAGUGAUGAUCUUAAAACUUUAAGUUAGAAACAGGUAGAAAGGGAGGGAGGAAGAGAGACCUCAUUCACUUUU
rnacentral:lncRNA from 10 species